CGCACCAGGGGCUCGUGAGCCCUCUCAGCUGCAGCGCUCCGGGCUCAAACAAGAGAGAUUGGAGAAAUAUUGGAAUCAACACCCCUAAAAUCCAUUCCAUCUCCCGGUGAAUCAAAUGCAUUCUCGUCAUUCACUCAAGAAUCAAAUGCAUUUCAAACGAUGGACAUUGAACAAAUCAAUUUGAAUACCUAAUUUGCGGCGGAGGCCGAGCCUGAGGUGGAGGAGAUAUCAUCUAUCUAUGUCAAUGACCACCAAACAAAGAGGCAUUACUCCGGCAAAAAUGAUACUCAUAUAUCGUUUGUAUAUCGAGUACACAAAACGACUCCGUAAUAAGGGUCGAUCAGAGAAGAGCUGUAUUAAGGUGCCAUUCUCAAAAAAAUAAAAUUCUCAAUGGCGCAAAGGCACCAUCAUUUCACGCGACAUCAAGUAAAUCAAGUCACACUUUCAACGCGUCCUAAAGGACAUGAAGUGAUGAGCAAAUCAUCAUGAGUAAUGAGCAAAUCAUCGAUCAAGCAGAAAAAAUGUUCAUUGCCGAGCAUCGUCAAUCAUUUAAUCCAUAUAUACUGCGACAAACGCUCCAAGGGCUCGGACGGUCGUGGUACAACGACUUUUAGCCACAUCCACAAGGCCCCAAGGCCAAAAGGCGGCGAAGAGAGAGAAAGGCAAAAGUCAUGGGACCAAACUCAACGCAACAUCGUCG
rnacentral:lncRNA from 1 species